GAACGCUGGCGGCGUGCCUAAUACCUGCUAGUCGAGCGAACAGAUGAGGAGCUUGCUCCUCUGACGUUAGCGGCGGACGGGUGAGUAACACGUGGAUAACCUACCUAUAAGACUGGGAUAACUUCGGGAAACCGGAGCUAAUACCGGAUAAUAUAUUGAACCGCAUGGUUCAAUAGUGAAAGACGGUUUUGCUGUCACUUAUAGAUGGAUCCGCGCCGCAUUAGCUAGUUGGUAAGGUAACGGCUUACCAAGGCAACGAUGCGUAGCCGACCUGAGAGGGUGAUCAGCCACACUGGAACUGAGACACGGUCCAGACUCCUACGGGAGGCAGCAGUAGGGAAUCUUCCGCAAUGGGCGAAAGCCUGACGGAGCAACGCCGCGUGAGUGAUGAAGGUCUUCGGAUCGUAAAACUCUGUUAUUAGGGAAGAACAAAUGUGUAAGUAACUAUGCACGUCUUGACGGUACCUAAUCAGAAAGCCACGGCUAACUACGUG
rnacentral:rRNA from 1 species